rnacentral:rRNA from 1 species
AGUGGGGAAUUUUGGACAAUGGGCGAAAGCCUGAUCCAGCGACGCCGCGUGGGGGACGAAGCCCUUCGGGGUGUAAACCCCUGUUGUGAGGGACGAAUAAGGUUCGGAGGAAAUGCCGAGCCGAUGACGGUACCUCACGAGAAAGCCCCGGCUAACUACGUGCCAGCAGCCGCGGUAAUACGUAGGGGGCGAGCGUUACCCGGAUUCACUGGGCGUAAAGGGGGCGUAGGCGACUCAGUGUGUCGGGUGUGAAAUCCCACGGCUCAACCGUGGAAUUGCGCCCGAAACUACUGGGUUUGGGGCUGGUAGAGGGAGAUGGAACUGCUGGUGUAGGGGUGAAAUCCGUAGAUAUCAGCAGGAACGCCGGUGGGGAAGCCGGUCUCCUGGGCCAUGCCCGACGCUGAGGCCCGAAAGCUAGGGGAGCAAACCGGAUUAGAUACCCGGGUAGUCCUAGCCGUAAACGAUGCUCACUAGGUGUGGGGGAGUCAUUCCUCCGUGCUGCAGUUAACGCGUUAAGUGAGCCGCCUGGGGAGUACGCCCGCAAGGGUGAAACUCAAAGGAAUUGGCGGGACCCCGCACAAGCGGUGGAGCGUGUGGUUUAAUUGGAUGCUAAGCCAAGAACCUUACCAGGGCUUGACAUGCGGGUAGUACUAACCCGAAAGGGAAGGGACCCUUUCCUUUUGGAAAGGGAGCUCGCACAGGUGGUGCACGGCCGUCGUCAGCUCGUGCCGUGAGGUGUUGGGUUAAGUCCCGCAACGAGCGCAACCCCUGCCCUUAGUUGCCAGCGGUUCGGCCGGGCACUCUAAGGGGACUGCCGGCGACGAGCCGGAGGAAGGAGGGGACGACGUCAGGUACUCGUGCCCUUUAUGCCCUGGGCUACACACGCGCUACAAUGGGUGGUACAAUGGGUUGCUACUUCGCGAGGAGAAGCUAAUCCCAAAAACCACCCCCAGUUCAGAUCGCAGGCUGCAACCCGCCUGCGUGAAGCCGGAAUCGCUAGUAAUCGCGGAUCAGCCACGCCGCGGUGAAUACGUUCCCGGGGUUUGCACACACCGCCCGUCAAGCCACCCGAGUCGGGGGCACCUGAAGACGCUUAUCCUAACCCGAAAGGGAGGGAAGGCGUUGAAGGUGAAUCUGGUGAGGGGGGCU